rnacentral:rRNA from 1 species
UACGGAGAGGGCAAGCGUUGUUCGGAUUUACUGGGCAUAAAGCGCACGUAGGCGGACCACUAAGUCGGUUGUGAAAUCCCGGGGCUCAACCCCGGAACUGCGGCCGAAACUGGCGGUCUAGAGUGUGAAAGGGGAGAGUGGAACUUCUGGUGGAGCGGUGAAAUGCGUAGAUAUCAGAAGGAACACCGGUGGCGAAAGCGACUCUCUGGUUCAUUUCUGACGCUGAGGUGCGAAAGCUAGGGGAGCAAACGGG